UCAUCUUCAUCUGAUUUUCAUCUUCUUCGUUUUCUUCUUCAGUCAAUUCUUCACAGUUGCUCAUGGAUGCCAUGACAAUAAAAGAGAAGCUCUUUUGAAGUUCAAAUCAUCCAUUGUCAUAUUCCCUCCAAAUCUUCUGUCUUCAUGGCAAGAAGGCCAAAUUCAUCGAAAUUGUUGCAACUGGAAUGGAGUUCAGUGCUCUCAUGAGUCUUUACAUGUCAUUUCAAUCAAUCUCCGAGACAAAAAUCGUGAGAAUUACAUAAAUGAAACAAAUAAUGGAAUCUAUGGGAUUGCGUCUCCAAGUGCAUCACUAAAAGUGAAGCUAUGAAGAGCAGCCUCUUCAUCUCUGAGUAACUACGGCUACCCUCACCAAUCAAUCAGGAAAUCACCAAUUCACGAUCAUCAUCAAGUGAUUCAAGUCUUACUAGUUAGUAGCUAUCAAUCAAUCAGGUUAAGUGGUGACUGCCAAGGAUACCAAUUUUUUCUUCGUCUAUCAGAUUCAAUCUAAACCUUUUUGUUUCCAAGGUUGAGGUUGUCCUAUCCAAUCAAUGGCCUUAUUGGAGGGGAAAGUGCAGAUUUGUGGCCUAGGAUUGCAACUUGCAAGUGCAGGCUGUGCAGCCAUCCAUUUUCGUUUGCAAUGAUCGCAUUUCAUUUCUUGUCGACUUGUCGUAGACUGACUUAUAUGGUAGUGGAAAUGUUGUUUUUACUUUUUUAGCAAACU